rnacentral:snoRNA from 1 species
GAGCUUGCCAAAAUCACAUCUGGAAAGUGGCUAGUAUUCUGCCAGCUUCGGAAGCAGGAGCUGGGAGCAAGGCUGGCAGAGGCACCCAUGUUCCCAGCUUACUCAGUUGCUGGCGGCUGAAGACAGUUUACAACAGUG